UACGUAGGGGGCAAGCGUUAUCCGGAAUUAUUGGGCGUAAAGAGUACGUAGGUGGCAACCUAAGCGCAGGGUUUAAGGCAAUGGCUCAACCAUUGUUCGCCCUGCGAACUGGGAUGCUUGAGUGCAGGAGAGGAAAGCGGAAUUCCUAGUGUAGCGGUGAAAUGCGUAGAUAUUAGGAGGAACACCAGUGGCGAAGGCGGCUUUCUGGACUGUAACUGACACUGAGGUACGAAAGCGUGGGGAGCAAACGGG
rnacentral:rRNA from 1 species